CCUAACACAUGCAAGUCGAACGGUAACAGGAAGCAGCUUGCUGCCUCGCUGACGAGUGGCGGACGGGUGAGUAAUGUCUGGGAAGCUGCCUGAUGGAGGGGGAUAACUACUGGAAACGGUAGCUAAUACCGCAUAAUGUCGCAAGACCAAAGAGGGGGACCUUCGGGCCUCUUGCCAUCGGAUGUGCCCAGAUGGGAUUAGCUUGUUGGUGGGGUAACGGCUCACCAAGGCGACGAUCCCUAGCUGGUCUGAGAGGAUGACCAGCCACACUGGAACUGAGACACGGUCCAGACUCCUACGGGAGGCAGCAGUGGGGAAUAUUGCACAAUGGGCGCAAGCCUGAUGCAGCCAUGCCGCGUGUAUGAAGAAGGCCUUCGGGUUG
rnacentral:rRNA from 1 species